rnacentral:rRNA from 1 species
ACUCCUACGGGAGGCAGCAGUGGGGAAUAUUGCACAAUGGGGGAAAGCCCAUCGAUGCAGCCAUGCCGCGUGUGUGAAGAAGGCCAAUUCGGGGCUUUGGUUAAAAGACACUUUUCAGUAGGGAGGAAGGUAGUGUAGUUAACACCUGCAUUAUUUGACGUUACCUACAGAAGAAGCACCGGCUAACUCCGUGCCAGCAGCCGCGGUAAUACGGAGGGUGCGAGCGUUAAUCGGAAUUACUGGGCGUAAAGCGCAUGCAGGCGGCCUGUUAAGUCAGAUGUGAAAGCCCGGGGCUUAACCUCGGAAUUGCAUUUGAAACUGGCAGGCUAGAGUCUUGUAGAGGGGGGUGAGAAUUUCAGGUGUAGCGGUGAAAUGCGUAGAGAUCUGAAGGAAUACCAGUGGCGAAGGCGGCCCCCUGGAGCAAAGACUGACGCUCAGAUGCGAAAGCGUGGGGAGCAAACAGGAUUAGAUACCCUGGUAGCUA